AGCGGCGAACGGGUGAGUAACACGUUGGAACCUGCCCCGAACUCAGGGAUAACCCACCGAAAGGUGGGCUAAUACCGGAUGGUCCCGCAAGGGUAAAGAUUUUUCGGUUCGGGAGGGGCCUGCGGCCUAUCAGCUAGUUGGUAAGGUAACGGCUUACCAAGGCUACGACGGGUAACUGGUGUGAGAGCAUGACCAGUCACAAUGGGACUGCGACACGGUCCAUACUCCUACGGGAGGCAGCAGUGAGGAAUAUUCCGCAAUGGGCGAAAGCCUGACGGAGCGACACCGCGUGGAGGAUGAAGGCGUUUUCGUUGUAAACUCCUUUUCUGGGGGAAUAAAUGAUGAAGGUACCCCAGGAAUAAGCACCGGCUAACUACGUGCCAGCAGCCGCGGUAAUACGUACGGUGCAAGCGUUAUCCGGAAUCAUUGGGCGUAAAGCGUUCGUAGGUGGUUUGGAAAGUUUGCGGUUACAUCCGGUCGCUCAACGAUCGAAUUGUCGCGAAAACUCCCAAACUUGAGAGUGGCAGAGGCAGCUAAAUCCGCAUGUAGGGUAAAUCCGUGAUGCGGAGGAAUACAAAGCGAAGGCAAGUUGCUGGGCCAUCUCUGACGCUGAGAAGAAAGCGUGGGGAGCAAAAGGAUUAAUACCCUGGUAGUCCACGCUGUACAAUGGACACUCGGUGUAGGGAGGACUCACCCUCUCUGUGCUAAGUAACACGUUAAGUGUCCCGCCUGGGGAGUACGGUCGCAAGAUUAAAACUCAAAGGAAUAGACGGGACCCACACAAGCGGUGGAGCAUGUGGUUCAAUUCGACAAUAAACGGGAAACCUUACCAAGACUUGACAUCCCGGGAAUCUUCUGGAAACAGGAGAGUGCCGUAAGGAACUCGGUGACAGGUGCUGCAUGGUCGUCGUCAGCUCGUGCCUUGAGGUGUUCGGUUAAGUCCGUAAACGAGCGCAACCCAUGUCCUAUGUUGCAAUUCUCAUAGGAGACUGCCGGCUCUAAGUCGGAGGAAGGUAUGGAUGACGUCAGAUCAGCAUGGCCUUUAUGUCUUGGGCUACACACGUGCUACAAUGGCCGGUACAAUGAGCAGCUAACCCGCAAGGGGGAGCCAAUCUCAUCAAAGCCGGUCCAAGUUCGGAUUGGGGGCUGCAACUCGACCCCAUGAAGCUGGAAUCGCUAGUAACCGCAAAUCAGCUAUGUUGCGGUGAAUAUGUUCCUGGGUCUUGUACUCACCGCCCGUCACAUCAUGAAAGGUGAAGGUAUCCGAAGUCGCCUUAGCCC
rnacentral:rRNA from 1 species